CUACGUGCCAGCAGCCGCGGUAAUACGGAAGGUUCGGGCGUUAUCCGGAUUUAUUGGGUUUAAAGGGAGCGUAGGCCGUGGAUUAAGCGUGUUGUGAAAUGUAGAUGCUCAACAUCUGACUUGCAGCGCGAACUGGUUUACUUGAGUGUGCACAACGUAGGCGGAAUUCGUCGUGUAGCGGUGAAAUGCUUAGAUAUGACGAAGAACUCCGAUUGCGAAGGCAGCUGACGGGAGCGCAACUGACGCUUAAGCUCGAAGGUGCGGGUAUCAAACAGGAUUAGAUACCCUGGUAGUCCGCACAGUAAACGAUGGAUGCCCGCUGUUGGUACCUGGUAUCAGCGGCUAAGCGAAAGCAUUAAGCAUCCCACCUGGGGAGUACGCCGGCAACGGUGAAACUCAAAGGAAUUGACGGGGGCCCGCACAAGCGGAGGAACAUGUGGUUUAAUUCGAUGAUACGCGAGGAACCUUACCCGGGCUUGAA
rnacentral:rRNA from 1 species